rnacentral:rRNA from 1 species
GAUGAACGCUGGCGGCGUGCCUAAUACAUGCAAGUCGAGCGAACGGACGAGAAGCUUGCUUCUCUGAUGUUAGCGGCGAACGGGUGAGUAACACGUGGAUAACCUACCUAUAAGACUGGGAUAACUUCGGGAAACCGGAGCUAAUACCGGAUAAUAUUUUGAACCGCAUGGUUCAAAAGUGAAAGACGGCGUUGCUGUCACUUCUAGAUGGAUCCGCGCUGCAUUAGCUAGUUGGUAAGUUAACGGCUUACCAAGGCAACGAGGCAUAGACGACGUGAGAGAGUGAUCGGCCACACUGGAAGUGGGACACGGUCCAGACUCCUACGGGAGGCAGCAGUAGGGAAUCUUACGCAAUGGGCGAAAGCCUGACGGAGCAGCGCCGCGUGAGUGAUGACGGUCUUCGGAUCGUAAAACUCUGUUAUUAGGGAAAAACAUAUGUGUAAGUAACUGUGCACAUCUUGACGGUACCUAAUCAGAAAGCAACGGCUAACUACGUG